UAGUGUUGCACACAGAACUGCUGUAUUUCCAUUUGAGUGAAGAGGCCUGGGAGUUUACGGCCCUGAUUCUACCAAGCACUUAAACAUCCUCAGAGUGAAAUAUAGUCUCACUGAAAUUAAGAGUUGCUCACAUUAUUACAGUGAAGCAAAUGCUAAAGUGCUUUGCUGAAUGAGGGCUGAAGAUGCUCCAGAAAAUCAGGCAGAAGCAAGAUCAGACGAGUGUGCACAUUUGCCAUCUUGCACUGUUGUUGCAACAUUGACUCCAUUGUCAGUGAUAAUCACAUCAGGGGAAUGACCUUGUGAGCUUUCUAAUAUUGAAUUGUUGUGGUGACAAGGAACUGAAUUGCAAAGGCUUGAACAGAACUUAUAUGCUAUGGAUGCUACUUGUAAAAACAAAAAUUGAGAAGGAAAACAAGAUCAGUCAAUCAAACACCAACUAGACUAAACACAUUCUGUCUUGUGUCCUGGAGGUCUUGGGAUUUAGGACUCUGCUGGGCUGCCAAA